AUUGAACGCUGGCGGCAUGCCUUACACAUGCAAGUCGAACGGUAACAGGUUAAGCUGAUGAGUGGCGCACGGGUGAGUAAUGUAUCGGAACGUGCCCAGUCGUGGGCGAUAAUUGCUCGUAAGAUCAGCUAAUACCGCAUACGACCUGAGGGUGAAAGCGGCGGAUCGCAAGGCCUCGCGCGAUUGGAGCGGCCGAUAUUGGAUUCGGUAGUUGGUGAGGUAAAGGCUCACCAAGCCGACGACCAGUAGCUGGUCUGAGAGGACGCCCAGCCACACUGGGACUGAGACACGGCCCAGACUCCUACGGGAGGCAGCAGUGGGGAAUUUUGGACAAUGGGCGCAAGCCUGAUCCAGCCAUGCCGCGUGCGGGAAGAAGGCCUUCGGGUUGUAAACCGCUUUUGUCAGGGAGGAAAAGGUUCUGGCUAAUACCUGGGACUCAUGACGGUACCUGAAGAAUAAGCACCGGCUAACUACGUG
rnacentral:rRNA from 1 species